UACGUAGGGGGCUAGCGUUGUCCGGAAUCAUUGGGCGUAAAGAGCGUGUAGGCGGCUCGGUAAGUCCGCUGUGAAAGUCCAGGGCUCAACCCUGGAAUGCCAGUGGAAACUGUCGAGCUAGAGUCCGGAAGAGGCGAGUGGAAUUCCUGGUGUAGCGGUGAAAUGCGCAGAUAUCAGGAGGAACACCAAUGGCGAAGGCAGCUCGCUGGGGUUGUUCUGACGCUGAGGAGCGAAAGCUAGGGGAGCAAACGGG
rnacentral:rRNA from 1 species